AAAGAGCUAUAAAGAAAAUUAAGUUCUUCAAUAAUUUCAUAAAAAAUAAGUGCGUCACAGAAUUCGUUGACACUAAUCAUCUUAACGGUAUAGACAAAAAUAUACUAAAGAGAUAUAAAAGCGUAUUUUAUAACGACGAUGAUAAUCAAACAUUUACAAGUUCAACAAAACAUAGAAUAAUAACCAAUUUUCCUAAAAUUUACCGAUACCCUGAAAUACAUAAACCAGAAAUAGAAAAACAAAUAGAUCAAAUGUUAACCCAAGGUAUAAUCAGAACAUCCUCUAGUCCUUAUAAUAGCCCUAUUUGGCUGGUACCAAAGAAACUGGACGCAACCAAUGAACAAAAAUGGCUUCUGUGAUCGACUACAGGAAAUUGAACAGCGUAAUUACGCUUACAGAUUUCCAAUUCCAAAUAUAGACGACAUAUUUGACAAAUUAGCAAGAUGCCAAUAUUUUUCAACACUUGAUUUAGCAAGCAAAGGUUUUCAUCAAAUUGAAGUGGAUGAACGAGACAUACAUAAAACAGCGUUCUCCACUGCAAACGGACAUUAUGAAUUUCUCAGAAUGCCCUUUGGAUUGCGAAAUGCACCAGCAACGUUCCAGAGGCUAAUGAACGAAAUACUAAAAGAAUAUGUCGGAAACAUUUGCAUUGUAUACAUGGAUGAUAUCCUAGUAUUUUCUACAAGCGUAGAAGAGCACCUGGAAUCGUUGAGUAAAAUUUUACUCAGAUUAAAAGAGAAAAACUUAAAGAUACAAAUAAAUAAAUGCGAUUUCUUAAAACAAGAGACAAAAUUCUUAAGCCAUAUGAUUACAAAAGAAGGUAUUAAACUAAACCCAGGAAAAAUUGAAGCAAUAUAAAUGAUUCUACUUCCAAGAAAUGUCAAAGAGAUAAAAGCAUUUUUAGGAAUUACAGGAUAUUAUAGAAGGUUUAUCAAACACUACUCAAAAGUUGCAUAUCACAUUAUUAAGUAUUUGAAGAAAAAUACGAAAAUAUAUCAAAAUGAUAAAGAUUAUAUAAAAUUAUUUAAUAAAUUAAAAGAGUUAAUAGUAGCAGAUCCAAUUUUAAUUCACCCAGAUUUUAAUAAAGCUUUCACUCUGACAGAUGUCAGCAACUUUGCUUUAGGCGCAGCACUAUUACAAACUGAUAAAGUUAUUUGUUAUGCAAAUAGAUCACCAAACGGGCUUGAAAAAAAUUAUAGUACAAUAGAAAAAGAGUUACUUGCAAUAGUUUGGGCAAAGAAAUAUUUCCGUCCAUACUUAUUCGGCCGCCACUUUACUAUUAAAACUGAUCAUAGACCAUUAGUUUGGCUAAACAACCUAAAAGAACCAAACGCUAAACUCCAAAGAGAGAAAAUAAAGCUGAACGAGUACGAUUUCGAUAUUAACUACAUAAAAGGAAAAGAAGAUGUAAUUGCAGAUGGUUUAAGCAGACUAAAUUAUGAAAAUAAUUGAAUUUAAAUGAAAUAUUUGAUGAAUUUGUAUUUACAGUACAAAGUGCAGAAACAGAUAGUACAUACUUAAUAAAAAUAACGGAAAAUGCAAUCAAUACGAUACAAUAUAUAAAAAUCAACUUAACUAAUUCAAAGAGCGCAAAGACAAUCAACAACAAAGAAAAUUAUUCAUCAUAAGAAAAUAAGAAACAUAAUAAACGUAACAAAUGAAAGCGAUAUUUUAAAAAUAAUGCAAUAAUGCAAAGCAUCUCUAACAGAAAAAGGAUUAGUCGUAAUUCACUGCCCAGAUGACAAAUUAUUUCAACAAUUUUAAGAGUUAUAUAUAAAAUUUUUGGAAAAUAAUGCAAACCUAAAAAUAAUGAAAGCAAACAUCAUUUUAAAAGAUAUAACAGACAAAGGAGAACUUUUAACAUUGAUAGAAGAGAAACACCUUGAAAAUAAUCACAGGGGAAUAAAUGAAAUAUCAGAAAAAAUAAAGCAAACACACUAUUACCCCAAAUUACAAAAAGAAAUACAGAAAUACAUCAAUAUUUGUGAAAUAUGUAAUAAAGCGAAGUUCGAUAGAAACCCUAUCAAACAUAAUUUAAAUAUUACGGAAACUCCUAAAAAACAUAACGAAAUUGUUCAUUUUGAUAUUUGAUACCCACAAAAAGCCGUAAUGUACCUAACUAACAAAAUAUGCAACAACUAAAUCAUUAAAUGACAGAACUUGGAUAUCAAUUGUAAAUGCUAUAAAAGAAAGAAUUCAAUAUUUAGGCAACCCGGCAACUUUAGUAACGGACAACGAAUUAGACCAAUAAAACAUUUCUUAAAGGACAGUAAAAUAAACUUACACAUAACGACCACUUAUAAUAAAACAGGAAACGCAGAUGUUGAAAGAUUGCACUCCACUUUGAAUGAACACUUAAGAUUUUUUAAUGCUGAUGCAAACAACAAUGACAAUUUAAAAGAAAAAGUAUUCAAAGCAAUAACUGCCUAUAAUAAUACCAUACAUUCUACGAUGAAAAAGAGACCAAUUGAUUUCAUAAAUAACCUACUUUCCGAACAAGAACUAAUGAAACUCGCGGAAAACCUACAAAAGCAGAAAGAAAAUGUAAUAAAUACAAUACUAUUAAUAAAAAAAAAAAUAGAAUAAACACACAAGAUUUCCAGGCACGCGUAAACGUUAAUCAUUUGUCAUUAUUUCUGAACGUAUGUCAACUAUUACUUAUAGUAUUUGACAUGAUGGACAACAAAUGUUUGGCAGGGACGAUACAAAGUAACAUUUAGGGAAAAUGAUUCAUCUUUUAUAAUUAUGUUUUCGUCGAGUUUUUAUUAUUUUUAAGAUGUAUUCUGCUAUUCGGGGUGGGGACAAAUCCAAUGAACCAAAAACCAUGAAAAUUGGUCUAGCCGAUCUCGAGUUAUAAGUGUUGUAACAAACCCGACUUUGUUUUAUAUAUUGUAUAUAGAUUCUAGGUUGAAUGUGAUGACACUUUUGAGCUGUGGUGUCGUGAUGCUAAGCAUGAAAUAUGAAACUAAAAAUAGUAGAGUGAAGCGCAGGAAAGCAAGACAUUGGGUGAGCCCUUAUCUCAAGGCACGGAAUGAGAAGGGGAGGUUUGUCACGGAGUUUGAAAUCUUUCGGAUUGAUCCGACUUGUUUUGUUGAAAAUUUCCGAAUGCCGUUACAUGUUAUGGAAGAGCUUUUGGAAACGUUGCAGCCAUAUCUGCUUCCAAAGCGGAAAAGCAAACCGAAUGAUUUCAUUCCUACUAAAGCAAAGUUAACAAUUGUACCUGGCUUCUGAAGAUUAUAGUCAUUGUAGCCAUAUUGCCUCCUGCUCCCGAAUAAUAAGCGGCAGUUUAGAAGAAUCAUGCCGAAUGUAUGUAAGGAAAUUUUCAGCGUGUUGAAAAAUAAAAUGCCAGAGCGGACAGAACACACGCUGUUGGAGAUAUCUUAUGGCUUUAGAACACAAUAGAAUCCUCGGAGCUGCGUCGGAGCUAUCGACGGCAAACACAAAGCUAUCAAUGUCCCACCAAAUUCUGGAAGUAUAUUUUAUAAUUAUAAUGUAAAUUUAUAUGUAUAUGCAUAAAUCUGCCUGCUUUGUUUAUUCGUUAGUCGUUAUUCGGUAGUUUAUUACGUGCAUUUUGUUUGUCUAAAAUAAAAUUGUCAAAUUAUCGAAAA